CUGAUGACCCUCUGUUUAAGUGCACUUAAACACAUCCCACUUAACCCCACAGUAAGUGUACUGGAGAGUGUCAAAGCAGAGAACUGUCAACGCCAUUCUCCUUCAGCUCAACGCCCCCGUCUGCCUGGGCCACAGCCCGUCUCUGACCACGUUCCAGGACCCAAUGUCUGUUUUUACCGUUGUUUAAGCUCGGUCACGAAAACGACUGUGGGUCCUAGAUCCAGCCAUUCCCCCCCAUCCUUUCAACUGUCUACCCUCUCACCCCUCCUCCCUUAGGUAGGCCUACUUUUAUUUUUGUCUGGAAACAGGAUGUUUUGUCUUAGAAAAAAAAAAGUGAACAGAUUGCAGUGUAAAUCAGGGUGCUGGGUCAAUGUCAUAUUUAGAUGUCAUGUCAGAAAGGGUAGAACACUGAAUGCAUAUCUAAAAAGGUCAGAGGUCAGCAACUGACUUGAGACUUGAUGAAGACCUCAUGUUUUAGGUUGUUUCUGGAGCACAACAAGCAGUGUGUGGGUUAUUUUUUAUUUCCUGUACAGCUAGGGCACCAGAAGCAAGGUCAUGUAUAUCGACAGCUUUAAUACUGCAUGUUACCAUGUUAACUAAUAGCCUCCCAUCCUUUCGUCUGUAUAACAAUUGACCAUGUCAAUAUGCCAAUCUGCUCAGCAGUACCUCCUCCUUGGCAACGGAUUAUAAUGAACAUCACUUUCUCCAUAGUGCCAUCUUUCUAUCAAUAGGCAGAAGUGGGCUGGGCAUGUGAACACAUGUCUAGACACUUGUAUGGCUUUGGCCUUUGGAGUGGUUCCCUGUUGCAACGCCACUGGGCUACAUGGACAAGGUCAGUCCGGUAAUGGCCCUGUAAGGCCUGUCACUAGAGCUAAUUACUUUUCCUACUUACGUAAAUCAUGGAGCCUGUUCUGUCUUUAUCUUUUGUAUUUUGCUUUCUUUGUUUUGUUAUGUUGGUGAUUAUAUUUAAAACUGUGUGUGCUUUAGUGGUAGGCUUUACACUGUUUUGUAAAUAUUGUUUGAGAGAGGGCCGCGUUUCGUGUUGCACAAAUUAGGGGCUAAAAGUAUAUACCAAAACCAUGUUGUGUGUACAUGAAGUUGUGCAAUCAGGGUUUGUAAGGGGAGGUCAAAGUAAUUACACACCAGUAUUCCAUUAGCUGAUAUCAGAUUUCCCACAGGAGGUAUAGGAAGUAGUAUUUUCUCCUCACUCCAUCCAUGCAUAACUGAUUGUAAUAGGGAAAAUUGCACAAAAUGAGGUCAAGUGUUUAGAUUAAACUAUCAAAUUGUCAAUUACCUGUAUUUGUUAAUGGGUCAGAUCACUUAUUCUUUCCCAAGAUUAGAUUUAUACAUGAUUGUAUAUAGUGUUUACAUGGUUGAAAAACUAAGUGAUUAGGAAUGCACGAUCGAGAUUUUACCUAAUUACUUGUUAUGGGAAAGAAAUUGCAUGAGGGGAAUAUCUAUGUUUUACCUGCUAGAUUUUCCAGACUCUCACAGGUUGAUGGUCCAGGAGAUUUACGAGCGAGAGGUUGUGCCUCCCUCUGCCUGAGAGUCAAAAGGAGAAAGCCUUGGACAAGAUGGUUAGGGAACCUUUAUCCAGCAGAAUAUAAAUGUCAUCUUGUGAAAACCAUUCUAUGACUUUCAGAAAAAAUUAUCACCCAUCUGAUUGGUUUGUUUGUUUUUCAAGAGCUCUUUGAGCCCACUGGAAAUCCUCCCCAUUAAGAUAUCAGUCCAUUCUUUAUAGCGUAAUUCUGUGUUAUGUAAUUCUAACAGUUCUCAAACAAAUGUCAAUGUGUUCUUGAAUGAUGUCCACAGCUAUAGUAACAUUUCUGUCUUUAUAAACACAAUUCAACAGCUGGUUUCUGGUGAUCUGACUGCUUUUUAUGUCUCACACACAUCACUGAACAGAUUUACCUUUAUAUCAUAGGUUAAACUGGGGCUCAGCAAUGAAUAGCGUUUCACGUUUUUCCCUAUGUAGGAUCUUAAUUUGAUCACUAUUGUUGCUGAGAAUUUCCCCAUACAUCAGGAAAAGCAAAGAUGGUGUAUUCGAAGGUUUAAAAAAAAUCUUCUAACAUCAUAAUAAACAUAGUAAUUUCCAUUUUAAAAUUUCAGACUUGAUUUGCCAUAACAAAUGUAUCAGCCCCUACAAAACAUUUCCAUAUUACAAUCAACAUGUUGCUGCAGGACUAUUUUCCUGCUGUAGCAAACUGGCUCAAAUUAAGAUCCUACAUCUGUGUAUAAACAAUUCAAACUGAGCGAUCAUUGUCGGUUCAAAUCUAAACACUGAAAGAGAUCUUGGAAUGCAGUAAGCAAGGUAUACGGUUGCACAAUACACUUUCAAAUUAAAUGAGAAUGGAAAGAUACCGUUUAGAGUGAGCUAUACUGGCCUACGUGAUAUCUGGCCUAUCCAAAAUCUCACUCUUUGGCCGAGUCAUUUUCCCGAAAGAUACAGUAUGACCAGAUGGUUUAGUGGAUUCGAGUGGUGACUAAACAUCCCAUGACUGCAUAGUGGAUGGACAUCAUUAUCGCCUCGAUAGUCGCUGGAUAAUUAGAGAGAAAUCAACGCAUUUUUUUAGAUGACUAGAGAGAGAGAAAAAAUCAUAGACUGUACACAUCUUUGCCUGUGGUAAAUUCAGUUUAACCUUACUGUUCUGGUUCUACAUGGGCGUAUGGAAUGUAUAAUUAUUGUAUACUGCAGAAUAAUUAUAAGGCAAAUUACCUGCCAAGCUCGGUCAAGUUGGUCAGGUUCAAUCAACUAAUGGUAAUGUCAUACAUUUUAGUGCUAAUAAUUUCCAUAGUUGUUUCUGUUUAUUAUGCAUUAGUAAAUAUGAUAGUCUUCAACGUCAUCCACUCAGCAGCAACAACUGUGACAAAAUGAUGAUGUGUUCUGGGUAGAGUUCACAGUUUGUUGAGUGGUAAUUACAGUCCAGAGGAAAAAUCAAUCAUGACUAAUAACAUUGUACCAAGAACAAACAUUGUAAUAACAGUCCAUAAUUUUCAACAACCAAAAAAGCAUAAAUUCUACUUUUAUUUCAUCAUUGAUUUAGGCCUACCAUUUUUACAUUUGCUCAAAAUUGAACAGUUCUCCGCGAAUGAAUGACCACAAUCAUGAUGACGACCCGACCACUUUCCUGUUGAUGCAGCUGGAUAGACCCCGACUAGAAUCCUUUUAUCACUUGUCCUUGUCCAAACAGUCGUCGCUGUAGAUUCGGUCGAGAUAAGGUUCGUGGACUCUCCUCCUAAUAUGUUGCUGCUUUUGCUCUUGGAGUUUGUGGUCACGCGCCGCAGUCCGGCGUGCCGGGGAAGUGCUUUUAUCAGCUCUUGCGAACCUCUUAGAAACGGUCUUUCUUUGACUCUCGGCGGUGUCUUUGAUUGUCGAUUAUUUCUGCCUAUGCCUACUCUUUUUUUUUAGGCUACUGGAAAACCCAAGGCAGCUGAACUGAGCAUACCUUUUGAGGAGCCAAGGACCUUUGUAAAACCGUGGUCUGUCAGAGGUCAUUUUGGAAGGCUUCACAUUGGCUCGUGAACGAUGAAACUUAACACAGUUUUGGAACAUUUGUAUUUCCUUAUCAUUUUACUCCCUAAUACAAUGUUUUGUCAAACAGGUAAGUGAUAUGCCAAUGUUAUUAAUUGAUAAUGGCA
rnacentral:lncRNA from 8 species